CCGUAGUGCAGGUUACCUUGGAAACCAGCCGACAACUUCCUGUUUUCAUCCCCUGGAAAAUGGCGGAGGAGAAGCCUCGAACGGAUACUGUAUCCUCUCUGGCUAUGGACAGCAAGAAGAGCCACCCAAAGAAAGCUCCAGAGCUGCCCAUCCUGGAACGCAGGAACUGGCUCAUCCACCUGCAUUACAUCCGCAAAGACUACGAGAGGUGACAGG